rnacentral:rRNA from 1 species
AUGCUCCACUUCUCGGCGGAGUCAUUGGUGGCUCUCAAGGAGAGGGCCCGAGAAGAGCUCCUGGCAGUCGAGGACAAGGUGGGCGCCACCGCCCUGACGCGGUUCCAAGCGAUGACAUCUUUGCUGUGGCGGUGCAUCACGCGCGCCCGGGGGUUGGCGCUGGAGCAGGAGAAGGUGUACCGUGCAGCGAUCAACAAUCGCGGGCGUCUUCGACCGGCGCUGCCGGUGGUGUGCUUUGGGAACACCAUCUACGCUGUUGGCACGGAGGCAGCGCGACCGUGGCAGCUGCUGGCGCACGAUGGGCAUGGGUGGGCGGCGGCUGUCAUGGGGCACACAGUGGCGGCCCACACGGACGCGGACAUCAGGGCACGCAUGGCAGCAUGGAUGGCUAAGCCGAUGGUGUACACCCUGAGCUGGUUCGACCCUUGCGGGACCAUGAUUGGGAGCUCACCGCGGUUCAGCGUGUACAACUGCGACUUCGGCUGGGGGAAGCCGGUGGCGGCAUAG